rnacentral:lncRNA from 1 species
UGAGAAUUGUUAUUUAUUUUGCUGACGUGCUUGAUCUAAGUUUUUUUUUCCUUAAUUGGUGAUGUAAUGUUGAAUCUUAAAAUGCAAUGUACAAUUUUUACUCUCCAUAUAUUCUAUUACUUGUACAGAUUAUGACCACAGUAUAUGUUGUACUUAUAGCACUGUAUGCAAGAUGAAUUUGAAGAAAUUAUCCUUUUUACAAUUGUAGGAGAGACUCCACUGCGUAUGCUGAUGUAUGCUUCAGAGAAUU